GGGAUGUGAUGAGUGGUAAAUACUUGCAUUUAAUAUGCAAGAGGAUGCCCGCUCCAGCCUGGUUACGACUGUGUGGCAUUCUCGUUCUGACCUUUCUGAUCCC